UUCAGAGGAUUUAUUGUUGCUUAGUGUGAAACUGUUUUUGGUGUCUCAGGAUGUGAACCCAAAUAUUUUACAGAUGGUGUUAGUGUUGCAAGUGGUAAUUUCCUGGCAGCUAAGAGAAGAGGAGUAGUAGAAGGAAUUGAUUAUGGAUCAACGGGUGAAGUUAAGAAAGUAGAUGUUUCUCGUAUACAACUAUUGGGAAAGAUUUUUGUCCAAUCGGGAAACAAUAUUAGGUCUGUUUAUUAAUUUGGUUUGACAUUUCAUACUAUUUGUCAGGAAUUACAUUCAUUAUCUUUACUUCUGGGGGAUUCUUGAGCGGGA